GUUUACAGCUACCUUGAACAAGUCCGAACCAGUCUGAUCUCGGAAGCUAAGCAGAGUCGGGCCUUGUUAGUACUUGGAUGGGAGACCACCUAGGAAGACCAGGUGCUGUAGGCA
rnacentral:rRNA from 1 species